rnacentral:rRNA from 1 species
CUCGUAGGCUGCCAACUAAGUCAGACGUGAAAUCCCUCGGCUUAACCGGGGAACUGCGUCUGAUACUGGAUGGCUUGAGUGUGGGAGAGGGAUGCGGAAUUCCAGGUGUAGCGGUGAAAUGCGUAGAUAUCUGGAGGAACACCGGUGGCGAAGGCGGCAUCCUGGACCACGACUGACGCUGAGGAGCGAAAGCCAGGGGAGCAAACG